CACAAGCGGCGGAGCAUGCGGAUUAAUUCGAUGCAACGCGAAGAACCUUACCAAGGCUUGACAUGAACCGGAAAGACCUGGAAACAGGUGCCCCGCUUGCGGUCGGUUUACAGGUGGUGCAUGGUUGUCGUCAGCUCGUGUCGUGAGAUGUUGGGUUAAGUCCCGCAACGAGCGCAACCCUCGUUCUAUGUUGCCAGCACGUGAUGGUGGGGACUCAUAGGAGACUGCCGGGGUCAACUCGGAGGAAGGUGGGGACGACGUCAAAUCAUCAUGCCCCUUAUGUCUUGGGCUUCACGCAUGCUACAAUGGCCGGUACAAAGGGUUGCGAUACUGUGAGGUGGAGCUAAUCCCAAAAAGCCGGUCUCAGUUCGGAUUGGGGUCUGCAACUCGACCCCAUGAAGUCGGAGUCGCUAGUAAUCGCAGAUCAGCAACGCUGCGGUGAAUACGUUCCCGGGCCUUGUACACACCGCCCGUCAAGUCACGAAAGUUGGUAACACCCGAAGCCGGUGGCCUAACCCCUUGUGGGAGGGAGCUGUCGAAGGUGGGACUGGCGAUUGGGANUAAGUCGUAACAAGGUAGCCGUACCGGAAGGUGCG
rnacentral:rRNA from 1 species